rnacentral:rRNA from 1 species
GACGAACGCUGGCGGCGUGCUUAACACAUGCAAGUCGAACGGAAAGGCCCUGCUUUUGUGGGGUGCUCGAGUGGCGAACGGGUGAGUAACACGUGAGUAACCUGCCCUUGACUUUGGGAUAACUUCAGGAAACUGGGGCUAAUACCGGAUAGGAGCUCCUGCUGCAUGGUGGGGGUUGGAAAGUUUCGGCGGUUGGGGAUGGACUCGCGGCUUAUCAGCUUGUUGGUGGGGUAGUGGCUUACCAAGGCUUUGACGGGUAGCCGGCCUGAGAGGGUGACCGGCCACAUUGGGACUGAGAUACGGCCCAGACUCCUACGGGAGGCAGCAGUGGGGAAUAUUGCACAAUGGGCGGAAGCCUGAUGCAGCAACGCCGCGUGCGUGAUGACGGCCUGCGGGUUGUAAACCGCUUUCGCCUGUGACGAAGCGUGAGUGACGGUAAUGGGUAAAGAAGCACCGGCUAACUACGUG